AGGGAAGGCAAGACCGCGAGGUGGAGCAAAUCCCUAAAAGCCAUCCCAGUUCGGAUUGCAGGCUGCAACCCGCCUGUAUGAAGUUGGAAUCGCUAGUAAUCGCGGAUCAGCAUGCCGCGGUGAAUACGUUCCCGGGCCUUGUACACACCGCCCGUCACACCAUGAGAGUCGGGAACACCCGAAGUCCGUAGCCUAACCGCAAGGGGGGCGCGGCCGAAGGUGGGUUCGAUAAUUGGGGUGAAGUCGUAACAAGGUACC
rnacentral:rRNA from 1 species